UUCUUGGUCAUUUAGAGGAAGUAAAAGUCGUAACAAGGUUUCCGUAGGUGAACCUGCGGAAGGAUCAUUAAAGAAAUUUAAUAAUUUUGAAAAUGGAUUUUUUUGUUUUGGCAAGAGCAUGAGAGCUUUUACUGGGCAAGAAGACAAGAGAUGGAGAGUCCAGCCGGGCCUGCGCUUAAGUGCGCGGUCUUGCUAGGCUUGUAAGUUUCUUUCUUGCUAUUCCAAACGGUGAGAGAUUUCUGUGCUUUUGUUAUAGGACAAUUAAAACCGUUUCAAUACAACACACUGUGGAGUUUUCAUAUCUUUGCAACUUUUUCUUUGGGCAUUCGAGCAAUCGGGGCCCAGAGGUAACAAACACAAACAAUUUUAUCUAGUCAUUAAAUUUUUGUCAAAAACAAGAAUUUUCGUAACUGGAAAUUUUAAAAUAUUAAAAACUUUCAACAACGGAUCUCUUGGUUCUCGCAUCGAUGAAGAACGCAGCGAAAUGCGAUACGUAAUGUGAAUUGCAGAAUUCCGUGAAUCAUCGAAUCUUUGAACGCACAUUGCGCCCCUUGGUAUUCCAGGGGGCAUGCCUGUUUGAGCGUCAUUUCCUUCUCAAACAUUCUGUUUGGUAGUGAGUGAUACUCUUUGGAGUUAACUUGAAAUUGCUGGCCUUUUCAUUGGAUGUUUUUUUUCCAAAGAGAGGUUUCUCUGCGUGCUUGAGGUAUAAUGCAAGUACGGUCGUUUUAGGUUUUACCAACUGCGGCUAAUCUUUUUUUAUACUGAGCGUAUCGGAACGUUAUCGAUAAGAAGAGAGCGUCUAGGCGAACAAUGUUCUUAAAGUUUGACCUCAAAUCAGGUAGGAGUACCCGCUGAACUUAAGCAUAUCAAUAAGCGGAGGAA
rnacentral:rRNA from 1 species